UCCACCAAAGGUAGAUUCAACCUACCAACAACAAUUAAUUCAAUAAAGAGAGUUCAAGCUUUCUUACCAUAAUUCAAAGCCAUAGCCAAAAUCACCAAAAAUCCAAGCAAUCACCAAUACUUCACUCAUAAGGCUUACCACCCUUAAUUCACCCAUUAUCAACAAUUAAUCAUGAAUAAAAAUUAAACAACACAAGAGAUAUCAAUACAAUUCACUUUACACAUAAUUCCAUCAACUUUGAAUUUAUAGAAAUAGACCCAC
rnacentral:lncRNA from 1 species